rnacentral:lncRNA from 1 species
CUAAAUUUACUGAUUUAACUACUUUCUAAAAUAAAUUUGAUAAAAAAAUUAUUAGAGUACUCCAACAGACUCUGUAUGCGUGACGGAGGUAGGCUAUCCAAAACAAAAGUGGAAAAUGAACAAAAUAGGAUAGAGAGCUACUAAAUUUAGAGAGACAUUACAGUCUGUUGGAGACGUUUUUUCUUUGAUAAUAGCCAAAUUUACCUUUGCAAAAAUAAUUUGGCUAAUUAAUCUUUUAGAGAUGCUCUAAGAGUAUAUAAAUUUAAAAUUAUGCGAGUUCAGUUAAUAUUAAAUAUAUAAUAAAAAAUAACUAAUUGCAUAUAUUGUAACUAUUUUGCUAGACAAAUCUUUUAAGUCUAAUUAGUCUAUAAUUUGAUAAUGUGGUGGUACUACAGUGACACCUUAAAAAUUUACGUCCCAAAUUUAACACAAGACCUAAAUCCAACAAAAGUAGCUAACUCAUUAGUCAUUACCAUUAAUACGAUCGUACAACAAAUUAUGCAUCUCAUUGUAAUGCAGGUUGCAUGGACAUGUUUUCUAGUUGAAUAUAAUAAUUGGAUCAAUGACGCAUGGCUGCACGUUGAAAAAAGGAAAAAAAAACUACACGUUCAAUUUCAGCUCGCUCACGCCUCUCUGGGCUCUCGUUAGUGGUUAUGCUCGGCCUAUUCAGCUAUUUGAAUCUUAUUCUUUUCUUUUCAGAAGAUUAUAGACUACUUGGUCUACUUUCAAUAUGCAUGGAUAGCCCCCAACAAAAAAGAAAAAUCCAUGCAUAGCCACCGGCAAAAUAUUAAGUGCAAACUACAUUUUCAGUACAACCGUGAAAACUGUUUGCAAAAUCAUGUUUAGGAGUUUUCAAAAAAAAAAUGCAAUGCAUAUCAAUAGUUCAUCUGUAGAUAUGCAUUGAACAAUUUUUGAGAUUCAAACUCAUUUUGUAAAAAGUCAUAUUAAAAUAAAAAAACAUUUGCAUAUGCACUAGAGGACAAAAUUUGUUAUUUUCAUAUGAAUUUUCUUCUCUAGUGCAUAUGCAAAUGAAAUUUGUUAUUUUCAUAUGAAUUUUUACAAAAUGAGUUUGAAUCUUAAAAUUUGUGAUAGUGCAUUGUAGAUGCACUGUUGAUGUGCAUAGUUUUGAAUUUUUCUCCUACAGCUAAAAAGAACAAAAGUAAGACCACCACAUGGUGCGACUUUUUUUUGGGGUGGCUCCCCCUCCAGUACAAUACCUCUAAGAGGUGGAAGGGUGAAAAUUGAAAUAAAAAAGGAAAGGACUCCUGUUGCAAAUUUACGAUAGAGAAUAGUAUAUAAUCAGGGAUGUGGAAGGGUGUGAAAUGAAAUAAGGAAAAAUAAAGGAUUCCUGAUAUAAAAUUUCAUCUACGACAAAAAAUCUCGGUCCCUCAUUGAGGAAAGAAAAUUAAUCGCUCCUCAUCUAAAGGAAAGAAAAUUAAUCUCACCACUAUCUUGGGACGUCUUCCAAUAAUGCCCAGCUUCAACGCACCCGCGGUCCGACAUCCUCUACCAGCCUUAAUGGUCUCCACAAUCUCCCUCGCCGGCAAGAACAGCUUGACGAAUAGGCAUCCCUGCCCAUCACCUGACCUUGAGGCAGCCCUAGCACCGGAGAGGGAGCUGACAUGGACCUACGAACACCCACC